rnacentral:rRNA from 1 species
GCACCACAAGAACGCGUGGAGCAUGUGGCUUAAUUUGACUCAACGCGGGAAAUCUUACCGGGUCCGGACACACUGAGGAUUGACAGGCAAUAUCUUGGCUGUUUAAUAAUAAUAACCGUUUAUUAAUAAACGGUUUAUUAAACAGAUCGAGUGUUAAAUAUGCUAGUCCUUUCAUGAUUAUGUGAUAGGUGGUGCAUGGCCGUUCUUAGUUCGUGGAGUGAUCUGUCUGCUUAAUUGCGUUUCACUAAGGGCCCAUAAAUUCAAGGUAUGUUAGCAAUCGUCGCUCUAUGGACCCCUUAUUUCAGUUUAUUAAUAAACUGUUAUAAGCGCGCGUCUUGUUUAAAGAGUUUAAGACACUGCGCAUGCUGUUGGGCUCUGAAAGCAACGAACGUGACCGCAACGUCUUGUUGCCUUAAUCAAGUCGGCUGUUUAAUCUGUUUAAUUAAACAGACAGACAGCAGUCAUUAUAUGGCUUAUCCGAGGCUAUUUAAAACUAGACGAACCGCUGUUUCUUUUCUUAAACCAGAGGAAGGUUGCGGCAAUAACAGGUCUGUGAUG